rnacentral:rRNA from 1 species
UAGAUCAGGGCUCUACACCGUGGAUCACUCGGCUCGU